AUUGAACGCUGGCGGCAGGCUUAACACAUGCAAGUCGAGCGGGGUGAUGGUGCUUGCACUAUCACUUAGCGGCGGACGGGUGAGUAAUGCUUAGGAAUCUGCCUAUUAGUGGGGGACAACAUCUCGAAAGGGAUGCUAAUACCGCAUACGUCCUACGGGAGAAAGCAGGGGAUCACUUGUGACCUUGCGCUAAUAGAUGAGCCUAAGUCGGAUUAGCUAGUUGGUGGGGUAAAGGCCUACCAAGGCGACGAUCUGUAGCGGGUCUGAGAGGAUGAUCCGCCACACUGGGACUGAGACACGGCCCAGACUCCUACGGGAGGCAGCAGUGGGGAAUAUUGGACAAUGGGGGGAACCCUGAUCCAGCCAUGCCGCGUGUGUGAAGAGGGCCUUAUGGUUGUGAAGCACUUUAAGCGAGGAGGAGGCUCUUUUGGUUAAUACCCAAGAUGAGUGGACGUUACUCGCAGAAUAAGCACCGGCUAACUCUGUGCCAGCCGCCGCUGUAA
rnacentral:rRNA from 1 species